UGGAUCUGGAUGUCCACCAUACGGAGCACUAUUUUGAGUGCCUACGAAAAAAAUUAGCAGUCCUGAUUUUCUUUGUAUCCACUUUUUGUUUGUCCAUUGAAUGCAGUGCUUUCCUAUAAGCUGUUGCAUCACAUGACUGGGUUUUACUCUGUCACUCCAGUUUAAGCAACUCUACAAAGCUGCAAUGUUUUUACAUACAGGGAUAAAAUAACAGGACCACUGCAACCAGACCACUUUAUUGAAUGAUCUGGGUAACGUUACUGGUCCUUUAAAUGACUUUGAGGAAAUUUACAACCAUAAACCAUGGAUGAACCGUUUGUUUUUGGUUAAGGAACCAAAAUAAGUAACCGGGCUCGGUUUCAUUGGUG